rnacentral:rRNA from 1 species
GAAACUACGCCUACAUGAAGCUGGAUUCGCUAGUAAUGGCAGGUCAGCAUACUGCCGUGAAUACGUUCCCGGGCCUUGUACACACCGCCCGUCACACCAUGAGAGUUGGGGAUACCCGAAGCCUGUGAGCUAACUUUAUAAGGAGCAGCAGUCGAAGGUAGAAUCAAUGAUUGGGGUGAAGUCGUAACAAGGUAAC